AUUGUAUCCACGAUUGGGGAAUUUUCCGCAAUGGGCGAAAGCCUGACGGAGCAAGACCGCGUGAGGGAGGAAGGCUCUUGGGUCGUAAACCUCUUUUCUCAGGGAAUAAGAAAGUGAAGGUACCUGAGGAAUCAGCAUCGGCUAACUCCGUGCCAGCAGCCGCGGUAAUACGGAGGAUGCAAGCGUUAUCCGGAAUGAUUGGGCGUAAAGAGUCCGUAGGUGGUUAUUCAAGUCGAUUGUUAAAGAGCGGGGCUUAACCCCGUAGAAGCAGUGGAAACUGAAUAACUAGAGAGAGGUAGGGGUAGAGGGAAUUCCCGGUGUAGCGGUGAAAUGCGUAGAGAUCGGGAAGAACACCAGUGGCGAAAGCGCUCUACUGGGCCUCAUCUGACACUGAGGGACGAAAGCUAGGGGAGCGAAAGGGAUUAGAUACCCCUGUAGUCAAUCGUGGAUACAAU
rnacentral:rRNA from 1 species